UGCCUUGGUGAGGGAAUGCCAUCGCUGAGAGUGGCUCGCGAUUACGUCACGGUGGUUUCAGAUUUCUCCUUGACACUGGUAGAGUCUAAGAGGAUUUAUUGCAUAUGUAACUGAUAGAUCCUUUGGUCUGUUGGAUGAUCCCUGAUAAUUUUCUGGCAGCCCACCAUUGCUCUAAUUGCUCAAUAAUUGCCUUUAUUCAUGAUGUUUAUGACUGUUUGUAACUGAACGUGUCAUCCCUAGAAAUUCCUGCUAUUGAUUAUCAUGUGUUUUAUGCUGUCUCUCUGCUGCCAUUUACCAGCCUAAUGACGUCUACUUAGUGCCUCUUUUGAUGCUUUUACUUUGUAACUACCUGAAAUUCCCGACUGAUUUAUCUUAUGACUCCUGGUUGAUGACCUUCUUUCAUUAAUUGGUUCUUUAACAGCUUAUUUUAUGAGGAGCAUUGCGUUGAGAAGGCCGAUUGGUUCCCUGCACUAGAGGUAAAAAUUGAAAUAAGCCUAAAUGUAUCGUUGCAUUGCGAAUUAAUUUAGAAUACAUAGUGGGUUUUUGAGCAUCACCCGCAUAUGAAUCUACAACUAUAUUUUUUUUGAGUUUUGUGCCAAAGAUAAAAAGUAAAUGUAGGACAAAUUUGGGUGUUCACAUACCGCAUUUGAAUGGAGUGAAUAUUGUGACAAAGAAAGGCUAAUCCAUGAAGUGAUAGCACCAUACACUACAUAACACAAUGACAUUGUAGAGAGACAAAACAAGGUUAUCUUAAACAUGGCUAGAAGCAUAUCAAGGACAAAAACAACUACCCAAGAGAUUAUGGGGAGAAGCUGUCUCAACAUUUGCGUACAUCCUGAAUAGAUAUCCCACAAGUAGAUUUGAAGAAAUCACUCUUGAAGAAGCAUGGUCAAGUAUGAGGCCAUGUAUCAGUCAUUUCAGGAUUUUUGGCUUAAUUUGUUACAAGCAUAUUCUUGAGGCACAAAGAAAUAAGCUUGAUGAUAGAAGUGAGAAGUUGAUCUUGCUUGGAUAUCACUCUACAUGGGCAUACAGACUUUAUAAUCCUUUAAAUCAAAGGAUUAUGUUAGUAGAGAUGUAAAGGUAGAUGAACCAGAGUGUUGGGAAACUCAAUAUGGAAGAAGAUCUCAUAGGAUGAGGCAACCACCAUUAAGGUUGAGUGACUAUGAAGUCUUUCCAGACUCAGAAAUCAUUGCAGAAGGAGAAUUAGUCCACAUGGCCUUGCUAGCAGAGAUGGAACCUAUAAACUUUGAUGAAGCAGUGAAGGAAAGUCAUUGGCUGGAUGCUAUGAAAGAAGAGCUCAGAUCCAUUGAGAACAACCAAACAUGGCAGCUUACUCAAUUACCAGCAGACAAGAAAGCAAUUGUUGUAAGAUGAGUGUACAAGGUCAAGAUAAAUCCAAAAGGAGAAGUGGUCAAGUACGAAGCAAGGCUUGUAGCAAACGGCUUCCUACAAAAACAAGGCCUAGACUAUGAUGAAGUGUUUGCUCCUGAUGCAAGAUUAGAAACCAUAAGAUUGGUAGUUUCCCUAGCAAGCUAUCAUAGUUGGCACAUAUAUUCGAUGGAUGUCAAAUCUGCCUUCUUAAAUGGACCACUAGAAGAGGAAGUUUUUGUUACUCAACCUCCUAGUUUUUUAGUUGCAAGCAAGGAAAGCUUAGUGUACAAAUUGCAUAAGGCCAUUUAUGGUCUCAAAUAGGCUCCAAGGGCCUGGAAUAAAAUAAUAGAUGGGUUCUUGUUGCAGCUUGGUUUUGUCAAGUGCACAACUGAGCAUGGAGUAUACAUUAGAGGCUCAAACAUGAAUGGCUUGAUAAUAGUUUGUCUAUAUGUGGAUGAUCUAUUAGUAACUUGCAACAAGGUUGAAGAAAUAUGUGAAUUCAAGGAAGAUAUGAAGGCUGACUUUGAGAUGAGUGAUCUAGGAAAUCUGUCCUACUUCCUUGGAAUAGAGUUCACAAGAACAAAUGAUGGAAUCUCAUGCAUCAAAGGAAAUAGACCUCUAAUGUGUUGGAAAGAUUUCAAAUGAAUGGUAGCAACUCAAUUUCCACACCCAUUGAAGUUGGUAUUGCAUCUGAUGAACUUGAAGAAGACUCAAGUGUGGACAAGACACUUUAUAGACAAAUGAUAGGGUGUCUUAGGUAUGUUUGCAACACAAGACCAGAUAUUGCAUAUGGAGUAGGAUUGGUGAGUAGCUAUAUGGAGUCACCAAAGAAAUGUAACCUACUUGCAGCUAAGAUGAUACUCAGAUAUGUAAAAGGAACAAUUGGACAUGGGUUAAUGCUUCCUACGAAAGCCAGCAAUAUAAAUAGCAUCAAUCACAGUAUGCUUGGAUUUAGUGAUGUAGACUAGUGCGGGGACAAGAGUGAUAGAAAGAGCACAACAAGUUAUGUGUUCAUGCUUGGUGGUGCUCCAAUCUCUUGGUGCUCAAAGAAACAAGAUGUGGUUGCAUUGUCCUCAUGUGAAGCGAAAUAUAUAGUUGCUUGUAUGGCUGCUUGCCAAGCUCUAUGGUUGGAGAAAUUACUUGGAGAAUUAAAGCUAAAGAAUGAAGAGGAAAGUAUGUUGCUAAUGGUUGAUAAUAAAUCAGCAAUAAACUUAGCCAAAAAUCCAGUAGCACAUGGGAGAAGCAAGCACAUUGAGACAAGAUUUCACUUUCUUAGAGAUCAAGUAAGUAAAGGGGAGUUGAAGUUGGAAUUCUGCAGAUCUGAAGUGCAAAUUGCAGAUGUUCUAAUCAAGCCAUUGAAGAAAGGAAAGUUUGAAGAACUUAGACAUAAGCAUGGACUUAUUAGUCUAGCUAUCUUGAAUUAAGGGAGAAUGUUGAGAAAAAUGUAACUCUUCCUGCUAGACUCGUUAAUCGAUUAACCAUACUUGUUAAUCGAUUAACCAAACUAUUUGUAUAGUUAGGAUACUUUCUAUUUUUGUAUGGUAGUUAACUUUGAAGCUAUAAAUAGAUUGUAUACUUUCCUUGAUGAUUAAUUCCAAUUGAAUACAUUCAUACACUAUUCUUCUUCAUUACUCUUUCAUUCUCUCAUACCUCAAAAUAAACACUCUUCCCUUAAUAUCUUUCUUUCUUAUAUUCUCUGCAACACACAUACGCCUUGUGUGAUUCUAUUUCUUUCCUAAGUGAGUUUAUCAUAGAAAGUAAUACAACAAAAUGAACCUCUCAAAAUAGAGCAAGUAUAUGGGCCAACUCUCCAAAACCCACAAAGAAAUAGGAUUUGGACAUUAAAUUGAGAAUGUUUUACUUAAAUUGGACUCCUUAGCCCAAUUUGAUUGAACUAUAAGAAGUUCGAGUUUGGGUUUGGGUCAGGUUGAAUCAUCCAAGUUCUAGCCAUCAUAAAAAACUUGGCCAUGAAUGGAUAAGAGGAUAAAAAUCUAGGUAUCCUCUUUUAAUUGGUAGUCAUAUUUUUGCAUAUCAAUAUCAACCAAUUCUUCCACCAUUUGAUAUUCCCAUUACACUUAUAAUACUAAAUACUAAAUAGUAAUACAAGAGCUAUCAAAACGAGCUACCUGGGCAGGUUCUAGUUAACCCGCAUAGGGUUUGGGCUAAACUGAACUAGACUAAAAACCUUAUGUAUAAUUGCGUAUAUCAAAUUGCAGCCCAAACCCGACCUAAGUGGGUUGUGAGUUUUGGGUUGUUGCUGAUCUGACCGUAUAAUAUUAAAAAAGAUUUAUUUAAUUUUUAAUGUAUUUAAUGUAUAUCAUUUUAUAUUAAUAUGUAACUUUUUUUAACACACUUGUUAUUCUCAAUUCAACCAAACUCGUAGAUCUAAUACCUUAUAUUUAAGUUAAACGUGAUGUCAAAUCCACUUAUAUAAUUUUUAAAAUAACUCAUUAAAUCUCUCAUUUUUUUGGGACUCUCACUUCUCAACUUGAUAUAAUUUGUGACUUCAUUUUAAUAUAUAAAUUUUUGGACACUAUUGAAAAUAAUAUCAUGUCAGUUUAUAGUAAUGACAGUAUAGAUUCAAAUUCAGAAUGAACUUUAUAUAUUAAAGUAUAAUCACCAAUAUGACCAUCAUUAUUUACUUUAUAUAUGAUGAUCCUUUGUACGCUCAUUAUCAACAUUUUCAUUGUGAAUAAGUAUGAGUUAAAUUUGGUUGUAUAAACACCUAAUUUUGUCCAACCUAUUUAUAAAAUCAAUAAAAAUGCACAAUACAUUCAAAAUAAUAAAAAUAAAAAGUACUUGUUUUAUAUGUCUCGAGACCCAUAGUAUUUUCUUUGAUUGUUCGGUUCGAACCCAGCAAUUACAAAACCUUUGAUUAGUUAGCAGUGGGUUUAUUCAAUUUAAUUGGAAAAAGUACAAAUCAAACAAAGAGGUACCAAUAUUAUCUUAAACUUUAUAGUAAAACAUAAAUUAAAUAUCUAUUAAUCAUAUAUUUUAUGAACAAUGAGAAACAAAGAACAUAUGUAGUGAUAUAAAGUUUGAGACAAAAAAUAUAUUGCAAUGUUAGAAGUCUUACCUUUGUAUUCAAAGAAUUCAACAUCCACUCUUACCUUUGUAUUCCUUCCUUAUUCUAAUAAUUCAUUCAUAUGAAAGAUGAAGAGAGGGCGUAAAAGAAAAAAAAAAUAAACUAGGAGAAAAAAAUGAAUCUGAAGAUGUAAAGUCAAAGACUCUCUUUAUUAGAUCUUUUCAUGCCUCUUUACUAUAUAGAGCCACAACAUGGGAAUUCCCUACACGCUCUUUGAAUUCUCUGAACUAACAACCAAAAACUUCACCAAAGACAUUUCAUAUAUCAUCCUUUUAUCCAUCAAUUCAUUACUGUCUCACAGCUUGAGAAAUCAGAUAGAGGAGAAAGGCUAUGACACAUGUCUUUUGUCUCAUAUAUAUUACUUCAUAUUACAUAAGUUAUGAUUGAUUAGAAAAAUAAUUAUUAAUUAUGUUUUAAAAUUAAAUUGCAUUUUCUUCCAUCAAUAACAAUUCAUGACACAUGGAGUGACAUAUAUUAUAAGACAUAAGAUGCUCUCCACACAUGAUGGACCACAAGUAUGACUAUUGAAGAUCGCUCUGAUGAGAGACUUGGGUGCAAGUUGCAACAAUUGAUUGGUUAGAAGUUGAUUCUAUUUUUGCAGUCCCUCUAUGGCAAUAUAAACAAGCGGUCUUUUAUUGGAUAAAUUAUUCUACUAUGCAACAAGAAAUUAUUUGUUAUUUUUUGGUUUUAUUGGAUGAUAUAAAUGAUAGUUAACCAUAGUAGAAGAUGAAGACAACAUAUAUUUGAUUGAUCUAUAGUUAGAGGAGUACUUUAGUAGGUUGAAGGGCCUAAAUUUUUAUACAUAGUAGAGCAUCCUUUACUACCACACAAUACAUUUAACUUCAUAAGUCCUAUUUAGAGUACCUAAAUAUUAUGUAUUGUCACAUUUUUAUAGAACUCUCUAGAAAGUUGUGGCACAUUUCAAUACUCCUCCUUGAUGCAAUUUUUUAAAACUCUUAGAAUUCUUUGCAACAUUUUCUUGUCCCCUCCUCCUCCUCCUAUAUUGACAUUAAAAUGGUAUUGUUGAACUCCAAAUUAGAACUUCUAUUUCUUCUAUAUUUGGAGUGACGAAACACAAGACCAGAUAUUGCAUAUGGAGUAGGAUUGGUGAGUAGCUAUAUGGAGUCACCAAAGAAAUGUAACCUACUUGCAGCUAAGAUGAUACUCAGAUAUGUAAAAGGAACAAUUGGACAUGGGUUAAUGCUUCCUACGAAAGCCAGCAAUAUAAAUAGCAUCAAUCACAGUAUGCUUGGAUUUAGUGAUGUAGACUAGUGCGGGGACAAGAGUGAUAGAAAGAGCACAACAAGUUAUGUGUUCAUGCUUGGUGGUGCUCCAAUCUCUUGGUGCUCAAAGAAACAAGAUGUGGUUGCAUUGUCCUCAUGUGAAGCGAAAUAUAUAGUUGCUUGUAUGGCUGCUUGCCAAGCUCUAUGGUUGGAGAAAUUACUUGGAGAAUUAAAGCUAAAGAAUGAAGAGGAAAGUAUGUUGCUAAUGGUUGAUAAUAAAUCAGCAAUAAACUUAGCCAAAAAUCCAGUAGCACAUGGGAGAAGCAAGCACAUUGAGACAAGAUUUCACUUUCUUAGAGAUCAAGUAAGUAAAGGGGAGUUGAAGUUGGAAUUCUGCAGAUCUGAAGUGCAAAUUGCAGAUGUUCUAAUCAAGCCAUUGAAGAAAGGAAAGUUUGAAGAACUUAGACAUAAGCAUGGACUUAUUAGUCUAGCUAUCUUGAAUUAAGGGAGAAUGUUGAGAAAAAUGUAACUCUUCCUGCUAGACUCGUUAAUCGAUUAACCAUACUUGUUAAUCGAUUAACCAAACUAUUUGUAUAGUUAGGAUACUUUCUAUUUUUGUAUGGUAGUUAACUUUGAAGCUAUAAAUAGAUUGUAUACUUUCCUUGAUGAUUAAUUCCAAUUGAAUACAUUCAUACACUAUUCUUCUUCAUUACUCUUUCAUUCUCUCAUACCUCAAAAUAAACACUCUUCCCUUAAUAUCUUUCUUUCUUAUAUUCUCUGCAACACACAUACGCCUUGUGUGAUUCUAUUUCUUUCCUAAGUGAGUUUAUCAUAGAAAGUAAUACAACAAAAUGAACCUCUCAAAAUAGAGCAAGUAUAUGGGCCAACUCUCCAAAACCCACAAAGAAAUAGGAUUUGGACAUUAAAUUGAGAAUGUUUUACUUAAAUUGGACUCCUUAGCCCAAUUUGAUUGAACUAUAAGAAGUUCGAGUUUGGGUUUGGGUCAGGUUGAAUCAUCCAAGUUCUAGCCAUCAUAAAAAACUUGGCCAUGAAUGGAUAAGAGGAUAAAAAUCUAGGUAUCCUCUUUUAAUUGGUAGUCAUAUUUUUGCAUAUCAAUAUCAACCAAUUCUUCCACCAUUUGAUAUUCCCAUUACACUUAUAAUACUAAAUACUAAAUAGUAAUACAAGAGCUAUCAAAACGAGCUACCUGGGCAGGUUCUAGUUAACCCGCAUAGGGUUUGGGCUAAACUGAACUAGACUAAAAACCUUAUGUAUAAUUGCGUAUAUCAAAUUGCAGCCCAAACCCGACCUAAGUGGGUUGUGAGUUUUGGGUUGUUGCUGAUCUGACCGUAUAAUAUUAAAAAAGAUUUAUUUAAUUUUUAAUGUAUUUAAUGUAUAUCAUUUUAUAUUAAUAUGUAACUUUUUUUAACACACUUGUUAUUCUCAAUUCAACCAAACUCGUAGAUCUAAUACCUUAUAUUUAAGUUAAAC
rnacentral:lncRNA from 1 species